rnacentral:rRNA from 1 species
UACGGAGGGUGCAAGCGUUAUCCGGAUUUACUGGGUUUAAAGGGUGCGCAGGCGGAUAUGUAAGUCAGUGGUGAAAUCUCUAGGCUUAACCUGGAAAUUGCCGUUGAUACUAUAUAUCUUGAAUGCUGUGGAGGUAAGCGGAAUAUGUCAUGUAGCGGUGAAAUACUUAGAUAUGACAUAGAACACCUAUUGCGAAGGCAGCUUACUACGCAGAUAUUGACGCUCAUGCACGAAAGCGUGGGGAUCAAACAGG